rnacentral:sRNA from 1 species
ACAACAACAACAAAAACCAAGAAACUCCAUAACAAGAACAACACGCAACGACUCCUGCAUAACAACGAUAAAAAGGCGGAGACGCAGCAAACUGAUCAUUUUGGAGCAGAACGGUCUACGGGGCUUCCCCGGGCACAUGCGAAACAACAAGACUGCCUGUGAUGCAGCGAAGCGCAUGGCCGGAUCAUCGAUCAGGACCACGUCAGCAACCAAAGUAAUCCGUUCGCUAUUGGCCCCCGAUUGGGGGUGCGUAUGCGGGCUUCGGCCUGGCCUACGCUUCGGCGAUAACAACACCAACAGCCGAAACAAUAACAACAACAGCAACACUACUUCAGGGGGAGCUUCGGCUCCCCUUUCCAUUGGCCAAUAACCUUGCGUUCCC